AUGGUUAAGUGACUAAGCGUAGACGGUGGAUGCCUAGGCAGUUGGAGGCGAUGAAGGACGUACUAACUUGCGAUAAGCCAUGAUGAGGCAGUAAGAGCCGCUUGAGUCAUGGAUUUCCGAAUGGGGAAACCCAGUGUGCUUGCACACUAUCUUGCACUGAAUUCAUAGGUGUAAGAGGCGAACCCGGGGAACUGAAACAUCUAAGUACCCGGAGGAAAAGAAAUCAACCGAGAUUUCCCUAGUAGCGGCGAGCGAACGGGAAGCAGCCCUUAAGCAAUCAUAGUUUUAGUGGAAUCUGUUGGAAAGCAGAACGAUAGAGGGUGAUAGUCCCGUACACGAAGAGGCUAUGUUUGUGAAAACGAGUAGGUCGGGACACGUGUUAUCUUGACUGAAUAUGGGGGGACCAUCCUCCAAGGCUAAAUACUCCCAACUGACCGAUAGUGAACCAGUACCGUGAGGGAAAGGCGAAAAGAACCCCGGCGAGGGGAGUGAAAUAGAACCUGAAACCGUCUACGUACAAGCAGUAGGAGCCCUUUGGGGUGACUGCGUACCUUUUGUAUAAUGGGUCAGCGACUUAUAUUUUGUAGCAAGGUUAACCGUAUAGGGGAGCCGUAGGGAAACCGAGUCUUAACUGGGCGCUAAGUUGCAAGGUAUAGACCCGAAACCGAGCGAUCUACCCAUGAGCAGGUUGAAGGUUGAGUAACAUCAACUGGAGGACCGAACUCACAUCUGUUGAAAAAGAUGGAGAUGACUUGUGGGUCGGAGUGAAAGGCUAAUCAAGCUCGGAGAUAGCUGGUUCUCCCCGAAAUCUAUUUAGGUAGAGCCUCGGACGAAUACCUCUGGGGGUAGAGCACUGUUUGGGCUAGGGGGUCAUCCCGACUUACCAACCCCAUGCAAACUCCGAAUACCAGAGAGUACUAUCCGGGAGACACACGGCGGGUGCUAACGUCCGUCGUGAAGAGGGAAACAACCCAGACCGCCAGCUAAGGUCCCCAAGUAAUGGCUAAGUGGGAAACGAUGUGGGAAGGCUUAGACAGCUAGGAGGUUGGCUUAGAAGCAGCCAUCCUUUAAAGAAAGCGUAAUAGCUCACUAGUCGAGUCGGCCUGCGCGGAAGAUGUAACGGGGCUAAGCCAUUCACCGAAGCUGCGGCAGCGAAUUUAUUUGCUGGGUAGGGGAGCGUUCUGUAAGCCGUUGAAGGUGUGUUGAGAAGCAUGCUGGAGGUAUCAGAAGUGCGAAUGCUGACAUGAGUAACGAUAAUGGGGGUGAAAAACCCCCACGCCGGAAGACCAAGGUUUCCUAUCCCAUGCUAAUCAGGGUAGGGUAAGUCGGCCCCUAAGGCGAGGCCGAGAGGCGUAGUCGAUGGGAAUCAGGUUAAUAUUCCUGAACCGACAUGUACUGCGAUGGGGGGACGGAGAAGGCUAGGCAAGCCGGGUGUUGGUUAUCCCGGUGAAAGUAAGUAGGCUGAGGACUUAGGCAAAUCCGGGUCCUUAAGGCUGAGAUACGAGACGAGUACCCACGGGUGCGAA
rnacentral:rRNA from 2 species